rnacentral:tRNA from 1 species
AGAAAUAAUAAAAUUAUAUUUCAAUUUCGACUUGAAACUUAGAUUAAAAUAAUCCUU